AAGAUGUUCUGUGCCGAAAAUGUAACGGGGAUUAAGCAAUAUACCGAAACUGCGGGUGCUAUUUAUAGCGCGGUAGCGGAGCGUUCCGUAAGUCUGUGAAGAAUAUUCGUGAGAAUAUUUGGAGAUAUCGGAAGUGAGAAUGUUGACAUGAGUAACGAUAAAGAGGGUGAGAAACCCUCUCGCCGAAAGUCCAAGGGUUCCUGCUUAAAGUUAAUCUGAGCAGGGUUAGCCGGCCCCUAACGCGAGGGCGAAAGCCGUAGUGGAUGGGAACGAGGUUAAUAUUCCUCGGCCAGUGGGUAGUGACGGAUUUAGUAAAUUGUAUCCUUUUAUUGGAUUAAGGAUGCUGUGAAUAAGUCCCAGGAAAUAGCUCCCACACUAAUGACCGUACCCCAAACCAACACAGGUGGACGGAUAGAAUAUAUUAAGGCGCUUGAGAGAACUAUGUUGAAGGAACUCGGCAAAAUACCUCCGUAACUUCGGGAGAAGGAGGCCCGGUCUUAAGGCAACUUUUGGUCGGGGGCACAAAAUUGGGGGUGGCGACUGUUUACUAAAAACACAGGACUCUGCGAAGCCGCAAGGCGACGUAUAGGGUCUGACGCCUGCCCGGUGCUGGAAGGUUAAGAGGAGGAGUGCAAGCUCUGAAUUGAAGCCCCAGUAAACGGCGGCCGUAACUAUAACGGUCCUAAGGUAGCGAAAUUCCUUGUCGGGUAAGUUCCGACCUGCACGAAUGGCGUAACGACUUCCCCGCUGUCUCCAACAUAGACUCAGUGAAAUUGAAUUUCCCGUGAAGAUGCGGGAUAACUGCGGUUAGACGGAAAGACCCCGUGCACCUUUACUACAGCUUUGCAGUGAUAUUAGUGAUGCUAUGUGUAGGAUAGGUGGGAGGCUUUGAAGCAUUAGCGCCAGUUAGUGUGGAGCCAUCCUUGAAAUACCACCCUUAUCCUUAUUGAUAUCUAACCGCGGUCCGUGAAACCGGAUCCGGGACCCUGCAUGGUGGGUAGUUUGACUGGGGCGGUCGCCU
rnacentral:rRNA from 1 species